rnacentral:lncRNA from 1 species
UAAUCUCAUAUUAACAUGGGAAUUUUGUCUCUAGAGCCCCAAGAGAUUGGAAGAGAGGGUCAGGACUCAUCUGAAGUGUCAGAUAAUUGGCUGCUGAGAAGGUGGACAAUGGGGGAUGAUUCCUGAUGAGGUCCUCAGGACAGAGGCAUUUUAAGUUGGGAAAGUUUUUUUUUUUCUUGAUUCUAGAAGGCAGCAUGGCAUCAUAGUGAAGAAUGAGGGUGUGCGUGCGUGUGUGAGGGGUGGAGGGGCGUGUGUAUGUAAUCAACUAUAC